ACCGGGUCCAGCGGGGUGGCGUGCUGUGCAGACCCCGAGGCUAGACGGCCUAGGCCCCUGGAGCCCAAGAGACGCUUCCUUGGGGGGAACUUGCGGCUUGGGAGGGGACACCCACUGGAUGGCUUCUGGAAACAGCCGGACUCGCAGGGCCAGGACGCAGGCCGGACCCCGGCCUCAUUCUUCGGCCAGUUAUCCCGGAGUGGCGCGCAUCCUGUCUUCCUGGGCCUCGGACUGCUCGCGGGCAGAGGGGGCCCGAGGACACCUCUGUGGGGUUAGAGGACUCGGUAUGACGGUGUGGAAGGCAAGGAGGAGGGUCGCGUUGUAUUGGGGUUGGGGUACCCGUUCCUCCCAGCUUGAGGGAUCCUCGGGGUCCUCGCCGCCUCUGAGGGCCUAGGUGGCUGCUUCCCUCGGCUCCCCUGCCCGGCCUGGAGCUACGGGUGCGCCCAGCUAGAGUUUAGGGCCACCUGGGGACGUGCAAGGGGCGCUGGAGCGAGGCGGGGGCUGGGGCGGGGCGUGGGUGCUUCACCCGCGGGGGACGCAGAGCUUAGGCGAAAGCGGUGCAGGCAUCUCUCUAAUCGCCGGCCGCUAUUAAAAAUAAAACCGCGACCCGUCGCCAUGGCGACCACAACAACAGCGGCCGCGCGAGGGAGGCGAAAACUUGUGCAGCCGCGCGACAGCCGCCUUCUGGGGAGACUCGGGGCACGGCGCACCCGGCGUGGGAAUGGGACCCCCCUGCCCGGCCCCGCCACAUUCUCCGCCGGAUCCCCGGAAGAAACAAGGAGACGUGGACCCCCACAGGCUUUUUGGGGGGAUUGGGCGUUGAAACCGCAGGGCUGACUUAACCAAGAGGUCACCGACUUGGAUAAAAAUCCCACGCCCGCGCGGACCCCCCUCCCCGGCCUUCGUUUCCAUUCAGACUCCCAGCGUCCUCAUUGCAGCCCCUGGGGAGGGGGACGGAGGGACGAGGUGGGUUUCAGGUGCUCGGCCCAGGAGGGGACGGUGCGACCCGGGCCCUGCCGGCGGGUUUUGCGCGCGGAGGCUGCAGCACCUGCCCCGCCCGCCCUGCCGCGAUCCUUGCAGAUGGGGGCGGUCACAUGCUUCUUUCUGGCCAGGAAUCGAGUUUCACUUCCAGCCGCUAUUAGUCGGUUCACACAGUUCACUGCAAACAUUUGAUAAUGAGGCUAAAUAUACUCCCGCGUCGGAGGAGGCGUGGGCGUCCCCGCCCAGGCCCGGGAGACAGAGGCGCGGACCCCGGGACGGAGCCUGGCUUUGUGCGGGAGGCAGACGCGCCCCGCGCGCCGCCCCCGAAACAUUCGCACCCCAUGCUGAGGCGCGCGUCUGGGAGUCCGUGGGCGCCCCGAGCUACGUCGAUGGCGCCAGGUGCCAAGCUCUUUCCUUGUAUAAUUUCAUGGACACUCACACAUCAACUCUAAGCGAAGACUUGGAGCGGGGCUCAGCACCCCCGGGGUACCUCUGCAACCUCGGUAAAUAUAGACUAUCCUCAAUUCGCAGGGGCAUUUGUACGUGGGGUGUACAGGCAGGAACAGGAAAGACGCUGUGGCCACCCAGGAGUAGGGGUGGCAGCAAACACCCCCUGGAUCCCGAGUUCCAAGGUGCAGGGAGGGGGGCAGAGGCCAGUUCCCUCCGCUCUCUGCCCCUUGACCUUGGCCUUGGUGAGCUCUGUCCCUAGACUGCCCUGGGUGUCUGUUCCCUCAUCUGAAAAGCGUGAGGCCGACAGCCGUCACUGCGCACAGCUGCCUCCACUGUCGGGAAGCCUCCCUCCAGCCCACCUGCCCAGGAAAAGCUGCGAAAUGAAGUUGAAAAUAGCACACGAGCCCACUAUCAUUGUGUGAACAUUUUGUGAAUGAAGACACGUAUGAAAGGAUGUUUGGAGGCUUCAAGAAACGAAAGCCGAGAGUCUAGCUAGACCAGAGCCAUCCAGCCCAGGAGCGAUGGCCACGUGUGGCCGCUGGACACGAGACGUGGCCGGUCCAAACUGCACAGUGCGGGGCAGUGGAAGCCGUUGGAGGGCCUCAGGCAGGAACACAAGGUGUCGUGGCAUAAAGGAAGAAGGGGCCGGGCACGGUGGCCCACACCCAUCAUCCCAGCACUUUGGGAGGGAGGCCAAGGCAGGAGGAUCGCUUCAGCCCAGGAGUUCAAGAUCAGCCUGGGCAACACAGCAAGACCCCGUCUCUACUAAAACCCUAAAACUUAGCCAGGCUUGGUGGCAUGUGCCUAAGGUGCCAGGUCCUCGGGAGACUAAGGCAGGAGGAUUGCUUAAGCCCAAGAGUUUGAGGCUGCAGUUAAUUAUUAUCACACCACUGCACUCAGCCUGGGUGACACAGUGACUCUGUCUCAAAACUAAAUAAAUAAAGGAACAA